UACGGAGGGUGCGAGCGUUGUCCGGAAUCACUGGGCGUAAAGGGCGCGUAGGCGGCUCGGUAAGUAGGAGGUGAAAUCCUGAGGCUUAACCUCAGGGCUGCCUUCUAAACUGCCAGGCUCGAGCACAGUAGAGGCAGGUGGAAUUCCCGGUGUAGCGGUGGAAUGCGUAGAGAUCGGGAAGAACAUCGGUGGCGAAGGCGGCCUGCUGGGCUGUUGCUGACGCUGAGGCGCGAAAGCGUGGGGAGCAAACAGG
rnacentral:rRNA from 1 species